rnacentral:rRNA from 1 species
GAUGAACGCUGGCUACAGGCUUAACACAUGCAAGUCGAGGGGAAACGACGGGGAAGCUUGCUUCCCCGGGCGUCGACCGGCGCACGGGUGAGUAACGCAUAUCCAACCUGCCUCUGACUGAGGGAUAACCCGUCGAAAGUCGGCCUAAUACCUCAUGGCAUCGUCUGCGGGCAUCCAACGACGAUUAAAGAUUUCAUCGGUCAGGGAUGGGGAUGCGUCUGAUUAGCUUGUUGGCGGGGUAACGGCCCACCAAGGCUACGAUCAGUAGGGGUUCUGAGAGGAAGGUCCCCCACAUUGGAACUGAGACACGGUCCAAACUCCUACGGGAGGCAGCAGUGGGGAAUAUUGGUCAAUGGGCGGGAGCCUGAACCAGCCAAGUAGCGUGGAGGAUGACGGCCCUAUGGGUUUUAAACUGCUUUUAUGGGGGGAUAAAGGGGGGGACGUGUCCUUCAUUGAAGGUACCGAAGGAAAAAGGACCGGCUAAUUCCGU